rnacentral:rRNA from 1 species
UACAGAGGUCUCAAGCGUUGUUCGGAUUCAUUGGGCGUAAAGGGUGCGUAGGCGGAUCUUUAAGUCAGGGGUGAAAUCCUGGAGCUCAACUCCAGAACUGCCUUUGAUACUGGGGAUCUUGAGUUCGGGAGAGGUGAGUGGAACUGCGAGUGUAGAGGUGAAAUUCGUAGAUAUUCGGAAGAACACCAGUGGCGAAGGCGACUCACUGGCCCGAUACUGACGCUGAGGCGCGAAAGCGUGGGGAGCAAACAGG